AGUCGAGCGCAGGAAUCGACGGAACCCUUCGGGGGGAAGUCGACGGAAUGAGCGGCGGACGGGUGAGUAACACGUAAAGAACCUGCCCUCAGGUCUGGGAUAACCACGAGAAAUCGGGGCUAAUACCGGAUGGGUCAUCGGACCGCAUGGUCCGAGGAUGAAAGGCGCUUCGGCGUCGCCUGGGGAUGGCUUUGCGGUGCAUUAGCUAGUUGGUGGGGUAAUGGCCCACCAAGGCGACGAUGCAUAGCCGACCUGAGAGGGUGAUCGGCCACACUGGGACUGAGACACGGCCCAGACUCCUACGGGAGGCAGCAGUAGGGAAUCUUCCACAAUGGACGAAAGUCUGAUGGAGCAACGCCGCGUGAACGAUGAAGGCCUUCGGGUCGUAAAGUUCUGUUGUAAGGGAAGAACAAGUGCCGCAGGCAAUGGCGGCACCUUGACGGUACCUUGCGAGAAAGCCACGGCUAACUACGUGCCAGCAGCCGCGGUAAUACGUAGGUGGCAAGCGUUGUCCGGAAUUAUUGGGCGUAAAGCGCGCGCAGGCGGCCUCUUAAGUCUGAUGUGAAAGCCCCCGGCUCAACCGGGGAGGGCCAUUGGAAACUGGGAGGCUUGAGUAUAGGAGAGAAGAGUGGAAUUCCACGUGUAGCGGUGAAAUGCGUAGAGAUGUGGAGGAACACCAGUGGCGAAGGC
rnacentral:rRNA from 1 species